rnacentral:tRNA from 3 species
AGCCCCGUAGUAAAGUUUACACAAGAUUGCAAAUCCUGAGACGGAGAUGAAAGGCUCUCCCGGGGCUU